GACGAACGCUGGCGGCGUGCCUAACACAUGCAAGUCGAACGGAAAGGCCAGGUUUCUCUUGUGGUUUCCGGGGAGUCGAGUGGGGAAGGGGUGAGUAACAAGCGAGUGUUCUGCCCUGAGAUUAGGUAUAAGAAUGGGAAACUAGGUCUAAUUACCGAUAGGACCGCAGGGUGGUGCAGGUGAUGGCGGACGUUCUUCUAGUGGUUGGGGAUGAGCUCGCGGCGUAUCUGCUUGGUGGGGGGGUAAUGGCCUACCACGGCGACGGUGCGUAGCCGACGUGAGAGGGUGAUCGGCCACAGUGGAACUGAGACACGGUCCAGACUCCGACGGGAGGGAGCAGUAGGGAAUGUGAAGCAAUGGGCGUAAGCCUGACGCAGAAACGCCGCGUGCGUGAGGAAGGUCUUCGGAUUGUAAAUCUCUGCUACUUGGGAAGAAGAGAAGUGUACCUAGUUAUAAGCGUCGUGACGGUAGUGGUAGAAGAAGCACCGGCUAACUACGUG
rnacentral:rRNA from 1 species